rnacentral:lncRNA from 8 species
AUGCGCAGGUCCCUGAGAGAGAAGCACCAGGUUGAGCUACAGAGACUGCGCAGGCACAUGGAACAGGAGGGUGAGAGGGAAGCGUUGAGGCUGGAGCAGGUUGUCCAACAAGCGGAGCUGGAAGCUGGUAGACUGCAGGUGCUGCUUGGGGAGAGGGAGCACAGCCACAAGCAGGCCACAGCCAGGCUGGAGCAGCAGCACAGACACUGGGCCCAGGAGAUGGGGGCAGAGUGUCAGCAUCUUCAGCAUCUGCUGGAACACAGUGGGGCCGUAGGGAGCUCCCUUCAGCUCCCACACAGUCCUACGGUGGCCCAGGUAGUCCAAACCCUGCAGGCCCUCAGAGAGCAGUUGCAGCAGUCAAUCAGCCAACUACAGCAGGAGCUUGACUUACAGAGACGCAGCACUCAGCAGCUGAGCCGGGACAAAGAGCGUGAGUUCCGUAUUCAGAGGGAACAGAUGGAGACGGAGAGAGAGCAGGCUCUGGACUCACUGAAGGAGACACUCAUUCAGGAGCACAUUGAGGAGCUGAGCGAUCUGCAGCAGGCCCAGGUGCGCGAGGAAGGAGACGAGACAGGAGGUUUGGCUGCGUCGCUGCGCAGACAGCUGCAGGCCAAAGACCAGGAACUGCGCCGGGUGCAGAGGAGCAUGGGACAGUGGAAGGAGCAGACCACGGCGCGCCUGGCACGCAAGUUUGAGGAGGAGCUGACAGCCGAACUGGAGCGGUGUGUAGCGUACAAUCCCACACUAUUUACACAGAGUAGACUUUUAAAACUUUACUCACUUUUGGCCCUCAUCCUUAUUUUUUUUCUGAUGAAGAUGUGCAGGCUUUGA